rnacentral:rRNA from 1 species
GACGAACGCUGGCGGCGUGCUUAACACAUGCAAGUCGAACGGAAAGGCCCUGCUUUUGUGGGGUGCUCGAGUGGCGAACGGGUGAGUAACACGUGAGUAACCUGCUCUUGACUUUGGGAUAACUUCAGGAAACUGGGGCUAAUACCGGAUAGGAGCUCCUGCUGCAUGGUGGGGGUGGGAAAGUUUCGGCGGUUGGGGAUGGACUCGCGGCUUAUCAGCUUGUUGGUGGGGUAGUGGCUUACCAAGGCUUUGACGGGUAGCCGGCCUGAGAGGGUGACCGGCCACCUUGGGACUGAGAGACGGCCCAGACUCCUACGGGAGACAGCAGUGGGGAAUAUGGCACAAUGGGCGGAAGCCUGAGGCAGCAACGCCGCGGGCGGGAUGACGGCCUUCGGGUUGUAAACCGCUUUCGCCUGUGACGAAGCGUGAGUGACGGUAAUGGGUAAAGAAGCACCGGCUAACUACGUG